UACGGGGGGCAGCAGUGGGGAAUUUUCCGCAAUGGGCGCAAGCCUGACGGGCCAGCCCGGGUGAGGGAAGAAGGCCUUUGGGUUGUCAACCUCUUUUUUCAGGGAAGAAGCAAGUGACGGUACCUGAGGAAUCAGCUUCGGCUAACUCCGUGCCAGCAGCCGCGGUAAUACGGAGGAGGCAAGCGUUAUCCGGAAUUAUUGGGCGUAAAGCGUCCGCAGGUGGCAGCUCAAGUUUGCUGUUAAAGCCCGCGGCUCAACCCCGGGAAGGCAGUGGAAACUGGGAAGCUAGAGUGCGGUAGGGGUAGAGGGAAUUCCCAGUGUAGCGGUGAAAUGCGUAGAGAUUGGGAAGAACACCGGUGGCGAAAGCGCUCUUCUGGACCGCAACUGUCACUCAGGGACGAAAGCUAGGGUAGCGAAAGGGAUUAGAUACCCCUGUAGUCCUAGCCG
rnacentral:rRNA from 1 species